GCGGGCCACGCCCUCCGGCCCCUCCGGGGGCUCACGCGCAACGGAGGGGUGGAGUCUCCCUCCUGACCUUUCACCCCAGCAUGGCUGCGCCCUUGGGACCGGUGAAGUUCUGGCGACCCGGUACAGAGGGACCAGGUGUCAGCAUCUCUGAAGAGAGACAGAGUCUGGCUGAAGACUCUGCACCACCUGUUGUCUACAAUCCCUACGCCACCCUUUCUAUAGAGCAACAGAGGCAGAAGCUGCCGGUGUUCAAGCUUAGGAAUCAUAUAUUAUACUUGGUAGAAAACUAUCAGACAGUGGUGAUUGUUGGAGAGACGGGAUGUGGGAAAAGCACGCAGAUCCCACAAUACCUUGCAGAAGCGGGCUGGGCUGCCGAAGGAAGAGUGGUGGGAGUGACCCAGCCUCGAAGAGUGGCUGCUGUUACAGUUGCAGGGAGAGUAGCCGAGGAAAGGGGUGCAGUGCUGGGCCACGAGGUGGGCUACUGCAUCCGCUUUGACGACUGCACUGACCCACUGGCCACGAGAAUCAAGUUCCUGACUGAUGGAAUGUUGGUCAGGGAAAUGAUGGUUGAUCCAUUGUUAACAAAAUAUAGUGCCAUCAUGCUGGAUGAAGCCCACGAGAGGACCUUGUACACAGACAUUGCCAUUGGCUUGCUGAAAAAGAUUCAGAGAAAGCGAGGGGAUCUUCGAUUGAUUGUAGCUUCAGCUACUCUGGAUGCAGAGAAAUUUCGGGAUUUCUUUAAUCAGAAUGAAACCAAUGACCCAACGAGGGAUACUUGUGUGAUCCUUACAGUAGAAGGGCGAACAUUUCCAGUGGAUAUCUUUUAUCUACAAAGUCCUGUUCCAGAUUAUAUCAAAUCAACUGUAGAAACUGUGAUGAAAAUUCACCAGACAGAGGGAGAUGGAGACAUACUAGCAUUUCUGACUGGACAGGAAGAGGUGGAGACUGUCGUGUCAAUGCUGAUUGAGCAGGCUCGGGCGCUGGGUCGAACUGGGAUGAAGAGACACCUCCGGGUUCUCCCCAUGUACGCAGGACUACCUUCCUUUGAGCAAAUGAAAGUGUUUGAAAGGGUGUCCCGCAGUGUCAGAAAGGUGAUAGUGGCCACCAAUGUGGCCGAAACCUCCAUUACAAUCAGCGGGAUUGUGUAUGUGAUUGACUGUGGCUUCGUGAAACUCCGAGCCUACAAUCCCAGGACGGCCAUUGAGUGCUUGGUGGUGGUCCCGGUGUCCCAGGCAUCAGCCAACCAGCGUGCAGGACGUGGUGGCCGCAGCCGCUCGGGAAAAUGUUACCGCCUUUAUACAGAGGAAGCCUUUGACAAGCUGCCUCAAUGCACCGUCCCUGAGAUGCAGCGUAGCAAUCUGGCGCCUGUCAUCCUACAGCUGAAAGCGCUAGGGAUCAACAACGUCCUCAGGUUCCACUUCAUGUCGCCCCCCCCAGCCCAGUCGAUGGUUCAAGCGUUGGAGUUACUCUAUGCCCUGGGAGGUCUGGACAAAGACUGUCGCCUAACUGAACCGCUUGGCAUGAGAAUCGCAGAGUUUCCUUUGAAUCCCAUGUUUGCAAAAAUGCUGCUUGAAUCAGGAAAUUUUGGCUGUUCUCAGGAAAUUCUAAGCAUUGCAGCUAUGAUGCAAAUCCAGAAUAUCUUUGUGGUCCCCUCAAACCAGAAGUCUCAGGCAAUUCGAGUGCACCGAAAAUUUGCUGUGGAGGAGGGUGAUCAUCUCACUAUGCUCAACGUGUAUGAAGCGUUUAUCAAACACAAUAAAAACUCUCAGUGGUGUCAGGAACAUUUCCUGAAUUACAAGGGUCUUGUCAGAGCGGCGACAGUGCGAGAGCAGUUGAAGAAGCUUCUUGUCAAGUUUCAAGUGCCCAAGAAAUCUAGUGAAGGUGAUCCGGAUCCAGUCCUGAGGUGCAUUGUUUCGGGAUUCUUUGCAAAUGCAGCAAGGCUUCAUUCUACUGGAGCUUACAGGACUAUCCGUGACGAUCAUGAAUUAUACAUCCACCCUGCCUCGGUCCUCUAUGCGGAGAAGCCACCUCGCUGGGUUAUCUACAAUGAAGUUAUACAGACCUCGAAGUAUUACAUGAGAGAUGUGACGGCUAUCGAAUCCGCGUGGCUGUUGGAGCUGGCUCCACACUUCUAUCAACAAGGAACGAACCCCUCAGACGGGAAGCAGCAGACUUCAGAAGUCCAGGAGGAGUGAGGAGAACUGAGAAGCGCUGGUGGUUCAAGUCGGAGGAUGCGAGCAUUCGAGGGGGGUGAAUCCGAAGUUGUCUCACAUCCAUUUAGACUCUCGGAGAACGGGAUUAACCUAGAAGCCGAGUCAUUUUCCCUUCUCAUCUCAAAAUCACAGUUCAGGCCCACCAAGUUAGAGCAAAUAGCCCCGGAAGUUGGAAGGAAGUGACAACCCCCGAUGUCUGCGUUGGCCUCUUCUCUCCAGACGCCUGUUGUCCCACUCACUGGUCCAUUCCCAUCACUGCCUAUGAGCCGUGUAGUUUUAGAGAUGCCUGGAUCUUACAAGUCAUCUGGUGCCACAGCUUCAUCGUACGGGCAAGGGCCCCGAAACCCCCCAAGAACCUUGGCCCCUUCUUACGUAAGCAGUCCAUAGCACCUGUCCCUCAAAGCCAAAAGGGCCAAGGUCCAGGACCAGUGAGCGGAGCUCGGCUGCUCCCGCAGGGGGCUUAGCGCCCUCUCCUCUACACUGUGGUCCCCUGGCCCUGGGCGGCGAGCUGGCCUCAGCUCACGUGGAGUCUUCUGCUGCUCUGAAGUGGGCUGCAGCCUGUUCGUUAGCCCCUUCCUUCCCGCUCCCCUCGGCAUCUGCGUUCCUUGCUGGGAUCCCCGGGGCAUUCAUGCAUGGGCGGGCACCCCUCUGCGCUGCACGCAGGCAGAGCGGGAGUGGGCAGGGCCGUGCACUCUGCUCACGCAGCGCCCCCGCUGACCCAGCAUGCCACUUCCGACUGGCUCCCGGUUCUGGCCCAGCUUCGUUGUGGGGCACGGGGAGGAAAGCUGGCCACGGCUGGAGCGCUGGGCAGGGUGCACGGGGAGGUGUGUGGGGCUGCCUUGGCUUUCCCUGGCGGGGCCCCGGCAGUGCUGCCGGGUGUGAUCGAGCGUGUGUCUGCGGACGAAUGAGACGGCCCUGCAGUGUCCGCCAGCAUCACUGAGGGGCGUGGCUGGCCGACGCAGGGGCUCCCAGACCAAGCAGCUUCUGUUUUCCCUCUGCGCCAUGACCCUGCCUGUCUGCGGCAGGAGACUCUCAAGGGUUGGUGACCGACAGACACUGUUCUUUGUUAGCUCUCACAAGUGGGCUUAGCUUUCUCUGCGCGUAUGACACCACGGCCCGCCGCCGCUAGCUGAGCACUAGUGAGCUCGUGCGCUCACACCCUGGCGGGAACCUUCUGGCGCAGGAAUUCACAACAGUUUAGAGGCGCUAAGCUUCUGUAGCUCAGGAACAUAACUUGUAUAUUUGUUUUUUGUUUCUUUGCUUGGGUUCGGCAAGAACCCGGGGCGGCCCUCCCAGCAGGCCCUGGUUCUUUCGUCGCCCCAGGGCUUCUUCGUCGGGAUGGCAAUUGUGUUUCAACACGUGACCGAUGCAGGUUUCUCCCCUUACUGUUUCAGUGACCUUUAUUUAAAAAACACGUGGCUUGAAACUUUAUUUUUGUACUGAUCUUAGUUUGGAUGUGCCACUUUUGGCACCAAACAUGUAUGUCAUUUUUAUUUCCAUUUUGUAAACCUGUAAAUAAUAGUGGUAACUUGUUAAUAAUCGUAAACCUUUGUACCUCAAGUAAAUGUGUUCCCUCCUGCC